rnacentral:lncRNA from 1 species
AGAAAUAUUGAGGCUUCAUCUGACUCCUUUCUCUGCUCUUCACUGAAGAUUCUGGAUGAUUUGAUGUUUUUUUUAAUUAUAUUGGCAAAUAAAAACUAAAAAUAACCUAAAAUGGUAUCAAAUUGAGAUUAUCGAGCACCUUCAAUAAAUGUGAAUUGAAUCACAAGAAAUAUCUUUAAUCAAUGUUAUUUUCUUUGAAACGUUGUAUAAAAGAGUAUCUUAGGUGAGGUGACAUAGUCACAAAGGAAAAAACAAGGUAGGUACUCACUGAUAAGUGGUUAUUAGCCCAAAAGUUCAGAUUAUCCAAGAUUCAAUUUACAGACCACAUGGAGCCUAGGAAGGAAGAUCAAAAUGUGGAUGCUUCAGUGAUUUUUAGAAGGGUAAACAAAACAAUCACAGGAGGAAAUAUGGAGACAAAUUAUGGAGCAGAUCCCA